rnacentral:lncRNA from 1 species
AUGAUGGAGGGUUGGGGGAAGCCCGAGCUCGCCGGCAACUCCGGGGGCAAAUGCGACCGGCGGCGUGCAGAACCAGCUCACAGGAGGACAGGGGAAACGGGAGCCAGGAUGGCCGGGAUCUCGCAGGACGCCGGCAGCGCGAGGGGGGAGUGCUGUCCGGUGGCCAGGAGAUGCCGGAGGCGGGGAGGGCCAGUGGCCGGCCAGCUUCCCCCCGUUGGGGCUCUGCAGAAGGAGAAGCGGCUGCCAGUGACAGGAAGAGAGCCGCGGCAGCCGCGCACACAUGCACCGCCUCCCCCGCCCGAGCACACACACCCGGGGCCACCGCUGCCUACCUCCCCCGCCUGCCGGCUUCCUUCCUCUGCGGGGCCCGCGCUGCAGCGGCGGCCUCCUGCCCGCUCGGUUCCGACGCGCCUCCAGCCCGGCUGCGACCCGCCGGCCGUGCCCGAUCUGUGCUCGCCGUCUCCGACCGCUAGCCUGCCGCCCUCGCCGCGGCCACUGCUUCCUCCAACUCCGCUCCAGCUGCUCGCGACUCCUCUCCGUGCGCCCGCAGCUCCAGCGCCCGGCGCUGGCCCCGCCUCCGGCCCGGCCCCGCGCGCCCCGCCCCCGAGCCCACACCAACCAGAGCCCACGGCUCCGCCCCUUUCCGCCCGCACAGCUCCGGCCUCCGAGCCGGCGGCCGGCGGUGGGGGAGCCAGCUCCGGCCUGGCGGACCUUUCCUGCCACCGCCCUCGCCUUCCGCCCCCAGCCACGGGGAUGCCCCGGGCGGCCGUGCUGCGCGCUGCCUCUGCUGCGGAGUGCUCUGGCUCUGCGCGUCCCGGGCCGGCCCGGCUGCUGGGCGUCUCCCAGCGCAGAGGCGGAGGGGUUCGGGGAGGUCGAAGACAAGUUCAGACCUCCCGGGAGGCUGGCUGUGUCUCUAAUCCGAGUGUCUUGCAGCCAACCCCAGGCUUUUUCGAGCCCCUAGCGCCCCAGCAGAGUGACUGGGGUGGGGAGAACUCGGAUUCCGGAGCUCGCCAAAGCGGGGAGGCCUUGCAAUUCCUGGCCUCGCCAGCACCGCCUCCCCAGUGGGCGGAAAACCCGCGCCACCCGCUUGGCGCUCCGGGGGUGAAGGAGGGGUGA